AUUGAACGCUGGCGGCAUGCCUUACACAUGCAAGCCGAACGGUAACAGGUCUUCGGAUGCUGACGAGUGGCGAACGGGUGAGUAAUACAUCGGAACGUGCCUAGUAGUGGGGGAUAACUACUCGAAAGAGUGGCUAAUACCGCAUGAGAUCUACGGAUGAAAGCAGGGGAUCGCAAGACCUUGUGCUACUAGAGCGGCCGAUGGCAGAUUAGGUAGUUGGUGGGAUAAAAGCUUACCAAGCCGACGAUCUGUAGCUGGUCUGAGAGGACGAUCAGCCACGCUGGGACUGAGACACGGCCCAGACUCCUACGGGAGGCAGCAGUGGGGAAUUUUGGACAAUGGGCGCAAGCCUGAUCCAGCAAUGCCGCGUGCAGGAUGAAGGCCUUCGGGUUGUAAACUGCUUUUGUACGGAACGAAAAGCCCUGGGUUAAUACCCUGGGGUCAUGACGGUACCGUAAGAAUAAGCACCGGCUAACUACGUGCCAGCCGCCGCUGUAA
rnacentral:rRNA from 1 species